AAGACAGCCACCUCGCCAAGAUGUGUCUCCCCUUUCUAAGGAAGCCCCAGACCUGAUGACUGGCCAUAUGGAUAUAAAAGGCACAACCCCCUCAGGGGAACUCUGACUCAGGCAUCUCUGAAGGACUAUGGGGUCCAGUGCAGCACAGAGUGUGUUGUUACUUUCUGCUGGGAAGACCCACUUCCCAAUCAAGGGAGCAUUUGGUCCGAGUCCUGAAGAGUGGUUGGUUAAGUGGCAAAUACGCAGAGCUGGAGAACGAAGGAUUUUUUUUUUUUAAUAUCUUAAGUUCUAGGAUACACGUGCACAAUGUGCAGGCUCAGCUUUCUCAUCACUAAACUGGAGAUACAGGUAAUAGUAAUAUCUACCCCUGGAGGUAUUUUUAAUUACUUCCACAGUACCUGACACAUGGUAAGUUUUAACAGUGGUGAUGGAGGAAACAUUUGGAUGUUUCCACCCAAAUUGGAGGAAUCAACGAGUCUUGUCUACUGAUUAGAUAUAGAGGUCGGAAGAUGGAGGAUGGAGGUGAAGCCAAGAUGGCUCUAGGUAUCUGGCCUGAGCAAGAGAACUGAUAACAGUUGGUAUUUGGGUUUGACUUUAAGGCAACUGUGGGCUAUCUAGAUGGAGAGAGGUACAGUGGCAUCUUGGAAUUUCUAGAAUAAAAUACAU
rnacentral:antisense_RNA from 1 species